UACGGAGGGGGUUAGCGUUGUUCGGAAUUACUGGGCGUAAAGCGCGCGUAGGCGGAUUAUUAAGUUAGAGGUGAAAUCCCAGGGCUCAACCCUGGAACUGCCUUUAAUACUGGUAAUCUAGAGUUCGAGAGAGGUGAGUGGAAUUCCGAGUGUAGAGGUGAAAUUCGUAGAUAUUCGGAGGAACACCAGUGGCGAAGGCGGCUCACUGGCUCGAUACUGACGCUGAGGUGCGAAAGCGUGGGGAGCAAACAGG
rnacentral:rRNA from 1 species